rnacentral:rRNA from 1 species
ACGAUUACCACGGUGUGGUUCAUGACUGGGGUGAAGUCGUAACAAGGUAGCCGUAGGGGAACCUGCGGCUGGAUCACCUCCUUA